rnacentral:rRNA from 1 species
CAGUCGCCGCGGUAAUACAGAGGUCUCAAGCGUUGUUCGGAUUCAUUGGGCGUAAAGGGUGAGUAGGUGGCGCCAUAAGUCAGGUGUGAAAUCUCGGGGCUCAACCCCGAAACUGCACUUGAUACUGUGGUGCUUGAGUACUGGAGAGGAGAUUGGAAUUUACGGUGUAGCAGUGAAAUGCGUAGAUAUCGUAAGGAAGACCAGUGGCGAAGGCGAAUCUCUGGACAGUUACUGACACUGAGGCACGAAGGCCAGGGGAGCAAACGGGAUUAGAUACCCCCGUAGUCCCUGUCUCUUAUAC